CUUGAGAGUCCUGAAGGAACGUUGAAGACGACGACGUUGAUAGGCCGGGUGUGUAAGCGCAGCGAUGCGUUGAGCUAAUCGGUACUAAUGAACCGUGAGGCUUAACCUUACAACGCCGAAG
rnacentral:rRNA from 1 species